rnacentral:rRNA from 1 species
AGCGAACGCUGGCGGCAGGCUUAACACAUGCAAGUCGAGCGGGCAUCCUUGUGGUGUCAGCGGCAGACGGGUGAGUAACGCGUGGGAACGUGCCCUUCGGUUCGGAAUAACUCAGGGAAACUUGAGCUAAUACCGGAUACGUGCGAGAGCAGAAAGGUUUAUCUGCCGAAGGAUCGGCCCGCGUCUGAUUAGCUAGUUGGUGAGGUUAUGGCUCACCAAGGCGACGAUCAGUAGCUGGUCUGAGAGGAUGAUCAGCCACACUGGGACUGAGACACGGCCCAGACUCCUACGGGAGGCAGCAGUGGGGAAUAUUGGACAAUGGGGGCAACCCUGAUCCAGCCAUGCCGCGUGAGUGAUGACGGCCUUAGGGUUGUAAAGCUCUUUUCUUCGGGACGAUAAUGACGGUACCGGAGGAAUAAGCCCCGGCUAACUUCG